rnacentral:rRNA from 1 species
UGGGGAAUUUUGGACAAUGGGCGAAAGCCUGAUCCAGCAAUGCCGCGUGUGUGAAGAAGGCCUUCGGGUUGUAAAGCACUUUUGUCCGGAAAGAAAUCCUUGGCUCUAAUGCAGUCGGGGGAUGACGGUACCGGAAGAAUAAGCACCGGCUAACUACGUGCCAGCAGCCGCGGUAAUACGUAGGGUGCAAGCGUUAAUCGGAAUUACUGGGCGUAAAGCGUGCGCAGGCGGUUUGCUAAGACCGAUGUGAAAUCCCCGGGCUCAACCUGGGAACUGCAUUGGUGACUGGCAGGCUAGAGUAUGGCAGAGGGGGGUAGAAUUCCACGUGUAGCAGUGAAAUGCGUAGAGAUGUGGAGGAAUACCGAUGGCGAAGGCAGCCCCCUGGGCCAAUACUGACGCUCAUGCACGAAAGCGUGGGGAGCAAACAGGAUUAGAUACCCUGGUAGUCCACGCCCUAAACGAUGUCAACUAGUUGUUGGGGAUUCAUUUCCUUAGUAACGUAGCUAACGCGUGAAGUUGACCGCCUGGGGAGUACGGUCGCAAGAUUAAAACUUAAAGGAAUUGACGGGGUCAUA